rnacentral:rRNA from 1 species
GAUGAACGCUGGCGGCGUGCCUAAUACAUGCAAGUCGAGCGAACAGACGAGGAGCUUGCUCCUCUGACGUUAGCGGCGGACGGGUGAGUAACACGUGGAUAACCUACCUAUAAGACUGGGAUAACUUCGGGAACCCGGAGCUAAUACCGGAUAAUAUAUUGAACCGCAGGGUUCAAUAGUGAAAGACGGUUUUGCUGUCACUUAUAGAUGGAUCCGCGCCGCAUUAGCUAGUUGGUAAGGUAACGGCUUACCAAGGCAACGAUGCGUAGCCGACCUGAGAGGGUGAUCGGCCACACUGGAACUGAGACACGGUCCAGACUCCUACGGGAGGCAGCAGUAGGGAAUCUUCCGCAAUGGGCGAAAGCCUGACGGAGCAACGCCGCGUGAGUGAUGAAGGUCUUCGGAUCGUAAAACUCUGUUAUUAGGGAAGAACAAAUGUGUAAGUAACUAUGCACGUCUUGACGGUACCUAAUCAGAAAGCCACGGCUAACUACGUG